CGGCUGUGGUGCACGGUUCUGCCUCCGCGCCUUUCCAUCGCCAGCGCGUUCUUCGUGCUCUGUCAAUCUCGCAGCAGCGCCACUCUCUUCCCCACUUCCCCACCGUGGUCCCCCCUUCCCCACCCACCGGAGACCGCGCCAUUCCCCCCUUCCCCACCGCGACCACCAGACCGGCAUGGCGCAUACCUGAGAUUGCGCUCUCCCCACCGGAUCCGGCUUGGCGCACACCGGAGACCACGCCCUUCACCCUUCCCCACCGUGGCCACCGGAUCCCGCACACGCGCGCUCCGGCAUGGCGCAUCCACAGCACGAACGCCCGGAAUGGAGCAGCGUGCGUCCAUGUACCCACCGGAGACCAGGCCAUUCACCACCGCAGUGCCCCCACCCUCAUCAUCCUCGCGUCCCCCCGUCGCUACAGCCGCCAAGUUGGUCUGCAGGGAGGUCCCCCCCUCACCGCGCCACGCUCGCCGCGCCCGCCGCUCGGUCCUCGCCGCGACAUGCGCCUACCCUCACCUACACGAUGCUCACUCCUCCGCACAUCGCAAAGCCGAAGGUCCACGCCCCCUCCGUGCUGUGACCCCCUCCCUUGUGUGCCCAUGAUGCUGGAAGGGAAGUCCUACCUUGUGCCGCGCUCCCUGCUAAGCUCCUGCGAGAUAGAGACACAGUGGGCGUACUUCGCCCACGAGGUCCACGGCGGCAAGCGCCUGGCGCCGGAAGACUGCGAGGUCGAAGACCUGGACAAAGCUGACGUCGGCGGCAAGCGCAGCAAGCCGCCGUCUCCACAGCCGCACACGCCGGACAUCUCCGAGGGUCGCGGCUCCAGCCGCCAUGCCUCCGGUUGCGGAGAGCAGCAGGGCACUGGGAGCAACCCCAUGAAUUCAAUCGACCGUGACCUGACCCUCAAUAGCCUCCUCCGGACUAUUGAAUAGGGCAAGGAAGAUGUGACGAAAAGGUAAGGGGUUUCGAUCGGAGAUGGCAGCGGCGGCGACCGCACAUAGAGCCAGCUUCCCGUUGCGUCUGCAGUAGAUCCUUGCUGGAAGCUGCGCCGUCGCACCUGUGGUCAAGGUCGAGUCUGAGCCGAUUUUGUGGGGUCCUAGAUCCAGACGUCGGUCGACAGGUCGCUGGCGUCAGUGGACCACGUCGCCUAUCGCGGUUGUGGAGCGGAGCUGUGAGCAGAUCCCAAGUCCAAUGACGAAGAGGGAGUCUCGGUAGGGUGCGAUAAGGCGCGAUGAGGUCAGACACGGAGCACGGACGUGUCCUCAGUCGCUGUUGUCAUGUGUCAGUGGAUGCAGUCGUCGCUAUCGCCCACAAGAAACCUCGCUUCGUGGAAAGAUUAGUAUUUAACAUUUGGAUGAGGAAGUCAAGGACACCGACCUCAAGCGCUCUACCAGGAAGUCCGAGGAGGCCGUCCUCGCCGACCUCGCUUGGCUCGGCCUCGAAUGGGAGGAAGGUGCUCAUAAAAGAACACCUGUGAUGCCUAGAAGGAACCCUCCACCACCUCCAAGAGAGCAAUCUAAUAGUUUUUUUACCGCAUGGAAGCUCAAAGGCAGGAGAUGCACCGUUAGGUGCAUUUUGGGUGACAUAACAUGCACGAGGUGCUCAAGCUGUAGUUAACAGGAACCCUUUGUUUGAUGGGGAGUCAAUUAAGGCAUCACUGUCAUCAAAGCAGAACCAAAGCUGGGUGGACACCAGCAUCAGUAUUCCUGGCAAUAGGCAUGAUCAUUCCGGUCAGAUGUCACUGACAAGUAAAGCACAAAAUAACUCUUUGUCCAAUAAUGUUUUUAGAGGUCUCUCUGACACGGAGAUACAAAAUUCUUGGAAAAGUAGAGCAGAACAACCUCAACCCGAGCCAAAAUGUGAGAAAGACCCAUUUAACAGCUUUGUUGCAGAUUUUGACACUCACAAUCUCAACAUUGCCGUUGGUAAGGCAUCCGAACUUGAACUUGAAGUCUCCAAUCUAAAGGAGCAGUUGAAGAAAAUCACAUUAGAAAAGGCUGAGAUGACAACCAAGCAUGAAAAGUUAUCUGCAAUCUGCCGAUCACAGCGUCAGGAGAUCCAAGAGCUGAAGCUCACUCUUGUUGAGCCAACGCCUCCCUCAAACAAAGUCAGCUCAAGGACACAAGAUUCUGGAUCUCAGGCGUCCACAUUCGAGGAUGGUGCACAGUUCUGCCAUCGCGCUCCCUCCGCGCUCCAUCCGUCCUCCGCUCUCGAUCCUCGAAUCCCGCGGCUCCAUCCUCGAAUCCAGCGCUCCCUCCGCACUCCAUCCGUCUCCCUCCAUGCUCCAUCCGUCCUCUGCGCUCAAUCCUCGAAUCCCUCCGUGCUCCAUCCAUCUUCCGCCGCCUCUGUGAUGAACACGGGAAGCGUACAAUGACCUGGUGCUGGCGAUCUUGGCAUCAGUGAUGGGCAGUCAAUCCAUCAUAAGCAGGACCUUUUCCAUCAUCAAUCAGAGCCAGUCUCGGAGCUGCUUCCCCAGGGUGAAAGUCGUGCACACGUCGCUGCAGCGGGACAACAGGUACUACGAGCGCGAAAACUUGCUGAUGGUCAUCAAGAACAACCUGUUGUGGCACCACCUUAGCAUGGGCCUGGGCUAUGAUGACUCCAACUCCAACGAUAGCGGCGUGUCACCUAGCUCGGACCGUGCGAACAACAUAGAGGUCGCCACAGUGUCGCCGGUGCCGGCGGUCGUCAAGAAGCAGGCGAGGUUCCUGGUGGCCUCACCUAGGAGCCCCGACGUGAAUGAGACCAUGAUGGAGGAGCUGCACGAGCUGUGCGAGGCGCGGGAGGCCGGCACCGCGUUCAUCAUGGAGCACUCGGCAUGUGGAGACCAAGCCCGGGUCGUCACUGCUCAAGAGGCUGACAUGUGAAUUUGAUGGACAACAUGUAUCCUCAAUGAUCGCUCGAGUGCUCAGUGAGCCAUAAUAUCGUGAAAAUUCUAUGUGCUUGUAUGUUUCGUUUUCUUUUUAUAAAUCAUAUUGUAAUGCUAUUUCUAUAGGUGGAGGGUGAUAAAUGUAUCAAUUUAUCUUUAUGGUUAAUAUUGUUGU